rnacentral:rRNA from 1 species
AGAGUUUGAUCCUGGCUCAGAACGAACGCUGGCGGCGUGCCUAACACAUGCAAGUCGAACGUGAUUGGGGAGCUUGCUCCUCAUGAAAGUGGCGCACGGGUGAGUAACGCGUAGAUAAUCUACCUGGUGAUUUGGGAUAACACUUCGAAAGGGGUGCUAAUACCGAAUAAGCCCACAGAGUCCUUGGACUCAGCGGGAAAAGGGGGGGACCUUCGGGCCUUCCGUCAUCAGAUGAGUCUGCGUACCAUUAGCUAGUUGGUAGGGUAAAGGCCUACCAAGGCGACGAUGGUUAGCUGGUCUGAGAGGAUGAUCAGCCACACUGGAACUGAGACACGGUCCAGACUCCUACGGGAGGCAGCAGUGGGGAAUUUUGGACAAUGGGGGCAACCCUGAUCCAGCCAUGCCGCGUGAGUGAAGAAGGCCUUCGGGUUGUAAAGCUCUUUCGGCCGGGAAGAAAUCGCAUGGGUUAAUACCCUGUGCGGAUGACGGUACCGGCAUAAGAAGCACCGGCUAACUACGUGCCAGCAGCCGCGGUAAUACGUAGGGUGCGAGCGUUAAUCGGAAUUACUGGGCGUAAAGCGUGCGCAGGCGGUUUUUUAAGACAGGCGUGAAAUCCCCGGGCUCAACCUGGGAACUGCGCUUGUGACUGGAAGGCUAGAGUACGGCAGAGGGGGGUGGAAUUCCACGUGUAGCAGUGAAAUGCGUAGAGAUGUGGAGGAACACCAAUGGCGAAGGCAGCCCCCUGGGUCGAUACUGACGCUCAUGCACGAAAGCGUGGGUAGCAAACAGGAUUAGAUACCCUGGUAGUCC